AUGUGGAAGUCGGCUUCAUUACAGAUCAAUGAGGUGAGGCCAAUAUUCGGACAGUAUGUUCUGCCUAACGAUGUCUCCACCACGCACCUAUUGUUCCCAGUCAGCAAAAGCUGUCGCGUGACCAGUUCUGAGUGCCGACACAUUUACACAAAACCUGAUCCAGUAAGAGCAAUGUUAUCGGUCCUGUUUCUGCGAAGUUGCACGGAUUCUACCACGAUUCAGUGA